GAUGAACGCUAGCUACAGGCUUAACACGUGCAAGUCGAGGGGAAACGACAUCGAAAGCUUGCUUUUGAUGGGCGUCGACCGGCGCACGGGUGAGUAACGCGUAUCCAACCUGCCCAUCACUUGGGGAUAACCUUGCGAAAGUAAGACUAAUACCCAAUGAUAUCUCUAGAAGACAUCUGAAAGAGAUUAAAGAUUUAUCGGUGAUGGAUGGGGAUGCGUCUGAUUAGCUUGUUGGCGGGGUAACGGCCCACCAAGGCAACGAUCAGUAGGGGUUCUGAGAGGAAGGUCCACUGGAAUGGAACUGAGACACGGUCCAAAAUCCUACGGGAGGCAGCAGUGAGGAAGAUGGGUGAAGAGGGGAGAGCCUGAACCAGCCAAGUAGGGUGCAGGAAGACGGCGCUAUGGGUUGUAAACUGCUUUUAGAAGGGAACAAAGUGAGAGUCGUGACUCUUUUUGUAUGUACCUUAUGAAUAAGGACCGGCUAAUUCCGUG
rnacentral:rRNA from 1 species